rnacentral:rRNA from 1 species
GACAGAGGGUGCAAACGUUGUUCGGAAUUACUGGGCGUAAAGCGCGUGUAGGCGGCUAAGUAAGUCGGGCGUGAAAUCCCACGGCUCAACCGUGGAAGUGCACUCGAAACUGCAUAGCUAGAGUCCUGGAGAGGAAGGUGGAAUGCUUGGUGUAGAGGUGAAAUUCGUAGAUAUCAAGCGGAACACCGGUGGCGAAGGCGGCCUUCUGGGACAGUGACUGACGCUGAGACGCGAAAGCGUGGGGGAGCAAACAGG